AGUUUGAUCCUGGCUCAGGACGAACGCUGGCGGCGUGCCUAAUACAUGCAAGUCGAACGAACUCUGGUAUUGAUUGGUGCUUGCAUCAUGAUUUACAUUUGAGUGAGUGGCGAACUGGUGAGUAACACGUGGGAAACCUGCCCAGAAGCGGGGGAUAACACCUGGAAACAGAUGCUAAUACCGCAUAACAACUUGGACCGCAUGGUCCGAGUUUGAAAGAUGGCUUCGGCUAUCACUUUUGGAUGGUCCCGCGGCGUAUUAGCUAGAUGGUGAGGUAACGGCUCACCAUGGCAAUGAUACGUAGCCGACCUGAGAGGGUAAUCGGCCACAUUGGGACUGAGACACGGCCCAAACUCCUACGGGAGGCAGCAGUAGGGAAUCUUCCACAAUGGACGAAAGUCUGAUGGAGCAACGCCGCGUGAGUGAAGAAGGGUUUCGGCUCGUAAAACUCUGUUGUUAAAGAAGAACAUAUCUGAGAGUAACUGUUCAGGUAUUGACGGUAUUUAACCAGAAAG
rnacentral:rRNA from 2 species